rnacentral:tRNA from 3 species
GCCCGUAUAGCUCAGUUGGCAGAGCACCAUUUUUGUAAAUUGGUUGUCGUCUGUUCGAUUCAGACUGCGGGCUCCA